rnacentral:rRNA from 1 species
AGCCGGUGCUUCUUUUGUUAGGUACCGUCAUUAUCUUCCCUACUGAAAGUGCUUUACAACCCGCAGGCCUUCUUCACACACGCGGCAUUGCUGGAUCAGGCUUUCGCCCAUUGUCCAAUAUUCCCCA